rnacentral:lncRNA from 1 species
UGUGUCUGCUACCCUAGCACACCUUUGUCUGUCGCCACUGGCAAGAGUAUUAGGUUUUCCAUGUUCUUUUGUAAUUUUGUCCUUUGAAAUCUAUGGUCUGCGUAAGUUUUUCUCUUGCAACAGGAAUCGUGACCCAUAAAGUUGAAGAUUUAUACCUGCGUAUUAUGGAGGAUGAAUUAGCCCAAUUGUCGAUUAAUGAAGAAGAGGGGGAAAUUAUUCACAUUCCAAUUGAUCCAAGUUUGAAAAAUGGGGGCGAGUUUACUCAACUAGUAGAAUGUUUUCUCACAGCCAGCACGAUCCACUUCCCAGCAAUGAAAAGCACAAUGGCGAAUCUGUGGCAUUCGGUUCAGGGAGUACGAAUUCGAGAUCUAGGGGAAAAAAAGGUAUUUGUUUCACUUCUUUCACGUUAUGGAUAUGGAUAGGAUUUUGAAAGGUUCACCUUGGACCUUUAAUAAUCAUCUGCUAGUGCUUUACAAAUUGGAAUUAGGGGAGGAUCCGUUACAGGUCCUUCUAGUUUUGACACCUUUUUGGGUUCAGGUUCAUGAUGUGCCUAUUGGCCUUUUCUUUAAAAACUUGGCUACCCAGUUAGGUAAUUUCUUGGGGAAUUUUAUAGAACACGAUGUCUCAUAUCUGGGGAAAGAAAACAGGAAUUUUAUAAGAAUUAGAGUUCAAAUUUAUAUAAGGUGUCCUUUGAAAAUAAGGAAACAAAUUUUAUUUGGUGGAAAACGCUCAUAUGUUACUUUUAAAUAUAAACGAUUAUCAUUGUUCUAUUUCUAUUGUGGGAGAUUGGGUCAUAAUGAUUCAUUUUAUAAGGCAAAGAUGAACCUCAGAGUGGAAAUUGUAGAAAUGGGCUGGGAUUUAUGUAUAAAAGCACAAUCACGAAGGGCGUUAUCCAUGAAUAGUGUCUGGCUUCGAAAGGAAGUCGAUGGUGAUAAGAGAGGAACCGAUACAGAAUUUAGAGGUUUCAGAAUGGGCCAACAACAACUGGGGUGGAAAAUAAAAUAUGGGAAAUCUGUUGAUCCAAUUCUUGGCUUUAAUCUGGAAUGAGGUUUUUCUUACGUAGGACGAGGAAAGGAGAAUUUAGCCCCAAAUGUGAUGGACCAUGAUUUGAAGGAUGUAGCUCUUGUAAGGGAAGAGGGGAAGAAGAGGUAUAGAGAGGAAAUUAAAGAUUUAACAGGAAAAGAAGAGACGAGUAAUAUCUUGGCAAGAAGUAGGAGAAUAGUGGAUCUUAAUCUGGUUUUUAUAGGACACCAUAUACGCAAGAUAGAGAAGAUUCAUGAGAAACUUUGAAAAAUCUCCAUAAGGAUGAAGACAACCCUUGGUUUUUCUGUGGAGAUUUUAAUGAAAUUAUGUAUAAUUUUGAAAAAAAAGGGAGGCUUGCUUAGAGAUGAAAGAAGAAUGGAGAUGUUCCGUGAAGCUUUAGAUUUUUGCCAUCUAUCUGAUGUGGGAUAUUCUGGUAGAUGGUUUACUUGGGAAAGAGGUAAUUUAUCAUAAAUAAAUAUUCAAGAGCAUCUGGACUGGGGCGUCGCUAAUGAGAGUUAGAUUUCCAUGUUUCCUGAGGUAAGAGUUGAACACCUGGUACACUCUUUUUCUAACAAUUGUCCCAUUUUCAUUAACACAAAGGAAGACCAACGAAAAAAAGCAAGCCAAUUCAAAUUUGAAUCCUGGUGGAUUUUGGAAGACUCAUUCGUCGACGAAGCUAAACAUUUAUGGGGGAUGGCAUCCGGAGAUUUUCUGAAGAAAAUGGAAACUUUAAAAAAAGGGCUAAUAAACUGGGCAAAAUAAGUGUGAAGAAAUAAACAGGGGAAAAAAGAACUUCUAGCAGCCAAGUUAUCAACACUGACUGAUGCCAAAAUGGAUGAUUCUAACCUAGCUGAGAUGAUUGAUACAAAGAUCCAGCUAAACUUUGAAAUUAAAAAAGAUGAAAGAUACUGGGAACAACGGGAUAGAUUGAACUGGCUAAAACUCGAUGACAAAAACACAGCUUUUUUCCAUAGUCAAGCAACGCAAAGGAAGAGGAAUUUGAUAAGCAAACUACAAAACAGCAGCGGUUGGAAAACGGAUGACAUUCAGGAAAUGGAAAGUAUUGCACAAUCCUAUUUUCAAAAUUUGUUCUCUUAAAAAAUCAAGAGAAUUAUGAUCGUUUGCUUUCGGGAAUUGAUCGAUGCGUCUCUGAGGAAGAUAACAGAAAGCUUACAGAGAAUUGUACAAAAGAAUAGAUGAGAGAGGCUUUAUUUGAAAUGCAUCCCACGAAGGCACCUGGCGAAGAUGGAUUUCCUGCUCUUUUUUACCAAAAAUGUUGGCACUUUAUUGGAGAUGAGGUUACUGCUUUUUGUUUACACCUCUUAAAUGGAGAAAUGGAGGUCAGUUCAAUUAACUCAACUCAUACUAUUCUUAUCUCAAAAAUCAAUAACCCUUCUAAUAUGUCCUAUUUUAGGCCUAUUUAAUUAUGCAAUGUUAUUUAUAAAAUCAUGGCUAAAGCUAUAGCAAACAGAUUUAAAGGUGUCAUUAACAAAUGCAUUAAUAGCGCGUAAAGUGCCUUUGUGCCAGGAAGAUUAAUCUCAGAUAAUAUACUGCUAGCCUAUGAGUUAUUGCACACACUUAAACAAAAGAGAAUGGGGAAAAAGGGAUAUAUGACGGUUAAACUAGACAUGAGUAAAGCUUAUGACAGGGUUGAAUGGAGAUUUAUCAGGGAGACAAUGUUGCGAAUGGGUUUUGCCCAAAAAUGGGUUGCUUCUGUUAUCAACUGCAUGUCUACUAUUUCUUAUCAAGUAGUGCUCAACAGAAGUGUUGGAGGAACUUUCCGUCCAACAAGGGGGCUUCGACAAGGUGGUCCAUUGAGUCUGUUUCUUUUCUUAAUAUGCAGAGAGAGAUUAUCUAGCCUCAUGAGAUUAACUACAAAAGAAGGUUUAUUAAAAGGAGUCAAGUCAAGCAAAAGCAGUCCACGAGUAACACAUUUACUAUUCGCAGACGAUUACAUUUUAUUUGGAAAAGCGUCAAGUAAAGGAGCUCUAGCAUUCAAGGAGAUUCUUAGUGAGUAUAAAAAAUGUUUAGGUCAAUGUGUGAAUUUUGCUAAAUCGACUGUUUUCUUUAGUAAAAACACGCUAGAGGAGGAAAGACAAUUAGUCGUCAAUUUGCUGGGAAUUCGAAGUUUAGAUGAGCUAGAGCGAUACUUGGGUUUGCCAAACAUGGUUGGUAGAAGAAAGAAACAAUCUUUUCAAGCCUUAAAAGAUAGACUGAAACAGCGGAUUGAAAAUUAGAGUAUUCGUUUCUUAUCGCAAGGUGGAAAAGAGAUAUUCAUAAAGGCUGUGCUGCAAGCCAUACCGACAUAUUCAAUGGCUUGUUUUUUACUCCCGAAGUCACUACGUGAAGAAAUGGAGGGUAUUGUUGCGAAAUAUUGGUGGAAAAAGGGUCGUGGAAAAGGGGAAAUUCAUUGAUGCUCUUGGAAAAACCUUUGUUUUUUAAAAGAAAACGGUAGGAUGGGUUUUCGAAAUCUUAGUCAGUUUAAUAUUGCAUUGUUAGCCAAGCAGGGUUGGCGAUUAUUAAAUUAUCCAAAUUCUCUUUUAGCUAGAGUACUUAAAGCCAAAUAUUAUCCAAUAUCUAGUUUUCUAAAUUCACAGUUGGGAAACUUACCAUCUCUUACCUGAAGGAGUAUUUGGGCAGCGAAAGGGCUCCUUCUUAAAGGUCUCAGCUGGAGAGUCGGGAGAGGAGAUGUAAUAUCUAUUUGGACUGAUCGAUGGAUACCAGGGAUUGAAC